CGUGAGGAACUUGCCCAUGAGCGGGGGACAACAUUCGGAAACGGAUGCUAAUACCCCAUAGGUGGAUUGGUCGCAUGACUAAUUCAUUAAAGGUGGCUCUGCUACCACUCAUGGAUAGCCUCGCGGUGUAUUAGCUAGUUGGUAAGGUAAUGGCUUACCAAGGCAGUGAUACGUAGCCGACUUGAGAGGGUGAUCGGCCACACUGGGACUGAGACACGGCCCAG
rnacentral:rRNA from 1 species